rnacentral:rRNA from 1 species
CAGUCGCCGCGGGAAUACGUAGGUGGCAAGCGUUGUCCGGAAUUAUUGGGCGUAAAGGGCUCGCAGGCGGAUACUUAAGUUAGGGGUGAAAUCCCAGGGCUCAACCCCGGAACUGCCUUUAAUACUGGGUAUCUUGAGUUCGAGAGAGGUGAGUGGAAUUCCGAGUGUAGAGGUGAAAUUCGUAGAUAUUCGGAGGAACACCAGUGGCGAAGGCGGCCCACUGGCUCGAUACUGACGCUGAGGUGCGAAAGCGUGGGGAGCAAACAGGAUUAGAUACCCCUGUAGUCCCUGUCUCUUAUAC